rnacentral:rRNA from 1 species
CAGUAGGGAGGAAGGUAGUGUAGUUAACACCUGCAUUAUUUGACGUUACCUACAGAAGAAGCACCGGCUAACUCCGUGCCAGCAGCCGCGGUAAUACGGAGGGUGCGAGCGUUAAUCGGAAUUACUGGGCGUAAAGCGCAUGCAGGCGGCUUGUUAAGUCAGAUGUGAAAGCCCGGGGCGUUAACCUACGGAAUUGCAUUUAGUAAACUGGCAGGCUAGAGUCUUGUAGAGGGGGGUAGGAAUUUCAGGUGUAGCGGUGAAAUGCGUAGAGAUCUGAAGGAAUACCAGUGGCGAAGGCGGCCCCCUGGACAAAGACUGACGCUCAGAUGCGAAAGCGUGGGGAGCAAACAGGAUUAGAUACCCUGGUAG